GCACAAAAUUUAAAUAACACAACAACAACAAGUAACUUAGGAUUUACAGAGAGGGAAUUAGGAAGUUCUCGAUACACGGGGAAGGAAAAAAAAAUUGGAAGGAAUUAAGGAAGCAAGGAUAAGGAAAUGUACAGCACACACAACGCUGACCUUUGGGCUCCUUUAAUGUACCCCUAAGUGGCUCUGGUGGUGCGGGAACUGAAGUUGGUGUAGGCGUCCAAAGACAGGUCGAUAUCACGGCUGAACACGGCGACACAAACGAAGAACAUAAAUCGGGCAGCGACAACACGUAGAAAACAAGUUUGAAGUAAAAUCGGAACAGAUACGGCUCCCAAGUUUCACAUAUACGAAGAAGCUAAAAGAUUAUAUUGCUAUAGACACGGGACUAAAAGGUCCGCAUAAAGCGAUAUGGAAUACUACCCAAUUGAGGCAACCAAAAAAAACCUCCGACUAAAUACGGGUAGCUAUUCUAUUUGUCUGGCCCAAAUUCUUGAAUAUUCCUUCGUAUGAAGAUUGGUAAUAGCUCAGGAAAUUGGAAACAGGAAAAAUCACCGAAAAGAAUGUUAUCAGAAGGAAAUUAGCUUAUCAAGAAAAGAAUACAAGAAAGAAAGUUCGAAAACGGAAAAGCACUAACAGAAAAUUAGAGAGCAACCCACAACACAUAGAAGUCAAGGUGU